GUACCCCCACUUGUAGCACCCAGGGCAGCGAAGGGCAAGGCGGGGGGGAGAAAAUGUGAACCACAAGCGUGCUCCUUACCCCUGAUGGAGGCACCUCCCUGCCCACGGGGCUGUCCCGCAGCUGUGUUUGAGGGUCUGAGGAUGGACCCCUAUGGAGAAGCUCCAAACCUGCACCAAACCCUCCUGCCCAGCCUACCCUUGCGAGGUGCUGAAGACAGAGGUAGGCAAACGCUGGAUGUGAAGCUUCUGGACCGACAGCCCUCUCCAGAUCAGGGAUUUUUCCUCAGCUCUGAGUGUCCAAGGGUUUUUGACAUUCCAUUUCUUGGCACAUUCUUCUGCAUGAGACUGGCCCCAUGCUAUGCAGGCACAUCCCUUUCCCUUCUGUCUUCACCUAGAAGCUCCCUCAAAGAAUUAUGUUUGUGCUGAUUUGUCACAAAAAGAGAAGCAGCAGACAAAGCACUGAGAUCCCAGCGCAGCUUUAUUGCUUGGAUAUUUCUGGCAUUUUUAAUAAUAUUAUUUAUGGGAUUAUUAUUGAAGAGAGUAGGCCUGUGUAGUAUCAUUUUGUGGUAAACCACAUUCAUUAAUCAGCUACUGAAUAUAUCUUCUUAUAGAGAUGUUUUAUGGGAAGCCAGCCUUUCCCAUAAAACCCUUAUAACUUCUGUAAAUUGCAGUGUCCCUAUACAUCCAGUUUUGGUCACUGUCUGUGGCAUAAGAAAGGGAGGAGACAUGCAGCAUCCACCGAGAGGGCAAGGGGCAGCCAUGCUUGCCUAGUGGCUGCAUUGCUGCCGUGGACUAGCAGCUGGUACCUGUUUGAAGCCAGUGCCAGUCAUUGCAGGGAGGGUUUGGAGGAUCUUUCCAAUAGGGCAUGCUCAUGGGUGUGACUUCCCUGUAGACCAGCCUCUCAAACGCUGAAAACAAAUACCAUGGAUGUCUAGCACCCUUUGUGAAAGUGCUUAAAAGCAGUCAAUUUCCUACAGCUCCACAUAUUCUUGCCGUCUAUCUGUUUUCAAUUCAUUUCUUUAAGCAACAGAUCUCGGCCUCAGUCAUCUUCCAUGGCACUGAGCCCCACCAAAUGGACUUCUGGUGUCCAUUUUAAGCCUGUUUUGCCAAGUCCUGAGGAAUGCCAGAGGUUGUCGCCGUUGCUGCUUGCAGGAGAUGUCACCUCCUGAAGGUGGUCCCACAAGCCUUGGUCCCCAAAGUCCUCUUCAGGAAAGAGGAUCUACUAGCGUGUUUACUCUUACUCUAAAUGAAUGACAGGGAUAUUUAUUAAAAUGACCUUUUUUUGGUAAUUUUUAAUCUCUCUCCUUUUUUUUAUUUCCUGACGUUUUUUUGUGUGCCACUGACAGCCCUUCAGGUGGAAGUCAGUGUGGUCAGAAGGCAACUUGCCAGCUGCCUAUGCCACUGUCUACAGAUCCAGCUUGCUGUGCAGACUGCAAGCAAGCACCCAAGAUCUGAAGAGACUGUUUAGACUACAGAUAAUAAUUGCUUUCUACACCGGAGGAUAAGACAUUUCUGACAGAAAUCUGCUCAGUUUUUUCCACUUAUUUUCUGCUCUCCCCGCCUCGUCCUCCUGCAGUCUGGUAAUAGCAAGUGCCUUCAGCGUCGAGCAGGGCCCUGCUGCUGGAGCAAAGACAGUGCUUAUGGCAGGGGACCUGUGCUCCAGGGUUGAGGUACGGGAUGGCUGUGAGGUGUGGAGGACACGAGCGUGGGAUUUCCUGUGUGUGGCAAGUGGACAUAUGAAGCUAUGUUCCAGAGGACUUCCUGCAGGACCUCGUCCUGGCUCUCAUCCACCCAUGCCUCCACAAAGGUUGUGCCUGAGAAGACCCACGAGGCAGCAGUGAGUGUGACUGUGGCUGGAGUACCACAUCCUGCCCACCUCCCCGUGGGUUGCUGGCCAUUGUGCCUUUGUCAGCUGCUGGGUGCGUUGGGUGGGCUGGUGCCUGCAUUGGGAGGGCCUGCUGACACCUGUGCUCCUGUCUGCUCCAAGUGCUGGCACAGCCGUUUCUCUGCCGUCCUACAACUUCGAGGGUGUGCUUCAGAAACAUGGGACAAAGUUCUUUCUUGCAGCAAUUAGAGUGAAGAGGAGAAACUUAAAGCAAAUGAGAAGGAUUGAAGUUAGCUCUGCUUCCCAGGAGUCUUUCUUAAACUCUCUAUAAUACGAGUCAAAAUACUACUGAUUCUACUAAAUCUGCAAUUUUCUUCCUUUCUGUGUAUUGACACCAGGACAAAGCAAUUACAGCCCCUGGAAACACAUGAGUGAAGCGAGUGAGGCAGAGAUAUUAGCACUGCUGUAGUCCUUCCCCGCCUUGUCCUCUGCCUUUAUUAAUCUGCAUGUGUAAAUAAAACUGAAAUUAAACUCUUAAUUUAUCACCAUGUUGUGGUGACAGCAUGCCGGACCGUAAUACUUUACAAACACGUAGCACUACAUUAACAUCAGAAACAGAUUCUUCCCCUGAGAGAGGGGAAGAUUUCAAAGAAUGCAGAAGGAUACCACAGGGCUGUAAUCCGUCUUGUUGCACAGAAAACAACCAAUUGUUGAAACCCUCAGAGGGGGAGGUGGGCCCAGAGAUCUGCACAACACAUGUAGGCUGUGACUUUUCAGCCAUUAAGAAUGAAGAUGGGAAAUUUUGAAAGAAAGAAGCUUGGGGGGGGGAAAU